rnacentral:rRNA from 1 species
ACGGCUCAGUAACACGUGGACAACCUACCCAAGAGUCAGGGAUAACCCCGGGAAACUGGGGAUAAUACCUGAUAGGCCACGACAUCUGGAAUGAGUCGUGGUUUAAACGUAAGGCUCUUGGAUGGGUCUGCGGCGGAUUAGGUUGUUGCCGGUGUAACGUACCAGCAAGCCUGUAAUCCGUACGGGUUGUGGGAGCAAGAGCCCGGAGAUGGAUUCUGAGACACGAAUCCAGGCCCUACGGGGCGCAGCAGGCGCGAAAACUCUACAAUGCAGGCAACUGCGAUAGGGGAACAUCGAGUGGCACCCACCAUGGGUGUCUGUCCAGCCGUCUAAAAAACGGCUGUUAGCAAGGGCCGGGCAAGACCGGUGCCAGCCGCCGCGGUAAUACCGGCGGCUCGAGUGGUGGCCGAUAUUAUUGAGUCUAAAGGGUCCGUAGCCGGCUUUGCAAGUCCCCUGGGAAAUCCAGCGGCUUAACCGUUGGGCUUUCAUGGGAUACUACAUUGCUUGGGACUGGGAGAGGUAGGAGGUACUCAGGGGGUAGGGGUGAAAUCCUGUAAUCCUCUGGGGACCACCGGUGGCGAAGGCGUCCUACCAGAACAGGUCCGACGGUGAGGGACGAAAGCUAGGGGCACGAACCGGAUUAGAUACCCGGGUAGUCCUAGCCGUAAACGAUGCUCGCUAGGUGUCACGGCAGUCGUGAAUUGUCGUGGUGCCGUAGGGAAGCCGUGAAGCGAGCCACUUGGGAAGUACGACCGCAAGGUUGAAAUUUAAAGGAAUUGGCGGGGGAGCAC